GUAAUUGGGAGAGUUAAAAAUGUAAUAGACACAUGCAAAUAAACUAUUAUUAUUGUUGUUUUAUUGUUAUUAUAUUUUCAUCACAGUGUCUUAAAUAUAACAUGUAAAUAUAAAUUUUAAGAAUACCAUUAAUAAUAAAAUACAUCAAGACUUUUAUCGGUUUAAUUCAUACAAGUCAGUUUGGAAUGUUUGAUCCUGACUAAAAAAGUAGCGAGGUAAUCUCGCGAGAUUACAGCCUCCCCAUAUAGAGAUACACGAGAGUCCGAGACUGGAGAGUUUAACGGCUGUCUGCGUGAUCAUCGAGAAAGUGCAUCGAGAGCCCUUCAAAUUAAAAAUAGUGAUGGUGAUCUUGUCAAUGCUGAGAUUUUAAUGCAUCAACAGCCAUUACAUCUGUCUGGAUCAGGAUUGAACAAGAAUCAGACAGCAAGGGUUGUCAGAUCAGAAACGUAAUAACACAAACAUAAGAAACUUCACAGGGCUGUGACAGUGACAGUAUUUUACCACCGCGAUGGUAAUGCACCAAUUCACCACUGUGGUGCGGUGGUUAUAGAAUGUGUUUGUGUGAGGGGGGAGGCGGCAAUUUCUUUUUCCGCCGGUGGGUGCUCAUCACAACCUCAAGCUUUACUUCGCAACGCCAGGUGCUCUAGAGUCUGGAGAGCUCAAAGGCUUUGAAGAGGUGGAAAGUGGCGCAGUCACGUUUUCGUGUGAAUUGUGACGUUAAAGGCAGAUCACCGUGCAACUUGGUGAAGUCAUGUGUCUUUCCAGAUGGCCAAAUCUGUACCCCUCAAAAAAACUUUAUUAAACGCCAUGAUAGACAAGAUGAGCCUUAAGAGGAGAUUUGGGAAGAUGCUGUUUCAUAAGUCUUUGCUUUGCCAGAUUAUCUGUGGUUGGGGUGUCUGCCAAUGUGAUGCCUUGCUGGUCUGGUUUGAGUUUGAAGUCUCUCACAGACAGUCCAGAAGGUCUGGAGUCCAUCUUAGCUUUCAUUGAUGCUGUCAUCAUAUUUUAAGUGCAUGAGCCAGAAUGGACGGGUGGUGGUGGCCAUAAGAAGACCGUCAACUAAACUAGGGUGACCAUACGUGCCAUUCUUCCUGGACCCGUCCUGUCCAGUCUUUUGGAACUCGUAUUUGUCGACCGCAUACGUCACAGAGGAUUAUUAUUAUUAUUACAGAAAAGCAACCGUUACAUUUUAAGGUAAGAAGAAUGAAACUACGAUUGUAUAUCUUAUGUUUUUAACUGAAUGGCGUAUGCGGUCAACAAAUACGACUUCCGGAAGACGCACCGAAAUCCUGGACGGGAUGUGUCCGGGAAGAAUGGCACGUAUGGUCACCCUAUCUAAACCAACAACAAAAUUCAUAUUUGCUGUUAUAAAUAAAAUGACU